AGGGAAAGGGGGACUGCAACGGUGUUUAUUAAACACAUUCGAUAUGGCAAAACAAGUCAAGAAAAACUGUGAUAAGCUGAUAACUAUGUGUUGGUAUCAAUCUUUGUGAGCUUCAAGGAAAAUUAAUUUUCAGUGAUCCCAUUCAUGGUCUGAUUUCUACUACCACUGUGAGACUACAGUAAGAAGACCAGAGAAUCAGCUAUAAUUUUUUACUCACACACACACACGCAGGCAUGCACCAUUAAGACAAAGACAUUAAUAAUAUGAGCAUAUGAAUCUCAAAAACGGUGACAAUCAACAACAAUAACAAAUACGAACUGUUGCACACAUCCGGUUUUGUUUUUCACCCAGGUAAGUUUGAGCAAACUCUGAUACAUUACAACAAUACGCAAGCGACCGGAGCAAACUUAAUGGAACAACUUGUUUGUGCUGAGUUUCACCAUAUCAGAGAAAGUGGCACACACCAGCAAGAUUUCACAGAUGCUGCAUGACAUUCGAAAUGUUUGAUCUUCAGUGUACGUGUGUGAGGAGAACUGUUCUUCAGGACAUGACAUGUAAGUAUUAAGUGCAUUAAUAGAUCUGAAAUAGAGUGGGGGAACUGACGUCAGAACCAGGAAUUGUAAUUCGCCGCGAGUUCCUUUGAGAUUUUCCAAUGGUUUUUUUUCAAUUUAUGAAUAAAAU